GAUGAACGCUGGCGGCGUGCCUAAUACAUGCAAGUCGAGCGAACAGAUGAGGAGCUUGCUCCUCUGACGUUAGCGGCGGACGGGUGAGUAACACGUGGAUAACCUACCUAUAAGACUGGGAUAACUUCGGGAAACCGGAGCUAAUACCGGAUAAUAUAUUGAACCGCAUGGUUCAAUAGUGAAAGACGGUUUUGCUGUCACUUAUAGAUGGAUCCGCGCCGCAUUAGCUAGUUGGUAAGGUAACGGCUUACCAAGGCAACGAUGCGUAGCCGACCUGAGAGGUGGGGGGCCCACAGGGGAGGGGAGACGCGCCCCAGACCCCGAGGGGGGGAGGAAGGGGGGAUCCGGCCGAAAGGGGCGAAGGUCGGAGGGAGCAGGGCGGGGGGAGGGAGAAGGUUCUUGGGAUCGAAAACCUUUUUUAUGGGAAAAAAAAAAAUGUGAAAGAAACUAUGCCCUUCUGGAGGCUCCAUAACAAGAAGCCCCCGCCAACCUACGUC
rnacentral:rRNA from 1 species